CCGAAAAAAGGUGCAGGUCACAAAGAAGUUCAGACUCGUAAUUGUUGCGAAGUGACAGUUUGUCACAAAGCCAAAAGACAGCAAGCUCUCAAAAUGAGUUGGGGUUUCGGAUUUGGGUAUCCAGUUGGUCUGAGUUAUUAUUCAGAAGCUCAUCUGGUUCGCUCGUCCUUUGCUUUUCUUUGUCUGUGUCCCGUGGACUUUCGAAUUAUUUCAGGCAGAAGAAUGUUUCAAUGUAAUUAUGUGGGAAAUACACUUUGCCAUAAGGUAUGUGUGGCAUACUCGUAUUUUAAAUCAAGCAGCCACAUUGACUUAAUUGAUGAAUGCCCCUUUACCCACUCUGUAGAUAAUCUCAUUUCCAGAUAAAUCAUUUAAUUGCAGUUUUCCGACUUUGCCAUUGUUUUUGCGGCUGAUGUAAUGGAUAAAUUUGCAUAUCGCCCUGGAGGCGAAUGCGCAACUUUUAGGGCCAUUAAAUGCACUUUUAAUUAUUAUUAUUUCACCCGAUGCAAGCUUAUCACCUUCUCGCUUGGCCAAUUUCGCGUUUAUAAUGUGUUCACUUUUCGCCAUUAAACGGAACAAGUAAUGGACCAAUAAAAAUGCAUGCGACAAUUUUCGACUAAUGUUAACCAUAAAACCGUAACGUAACGGACGAAAACAAACAGAAGCCAAGAAGCAAACAGAUGGGUGGUGUAUUUUCUCGGGCGCUAAUUAAAAUAUACAAGCCACAGUACAGCAGCCACAAUGCGUCAAAUGUGGCGUAUACGUAAUGUGUAAUUAAACACACGCACACACAUAUGUAAGUACGGAAGCGAAGAGGGGAAAAGGACUAUCCGGGGGGUAUUCCCCGUUUUCUCGGUUCGUGCGAACGCCUAAUUGAAUGUAAGCAACAAGGAGGACAAUAUCAAAAUGUGUCUGGCUCUGCUGAUCCUGUUUGAUGCCGCAGCACGUAGCGUUGAUGUUUUGUGCGUUUUGGACCCACCAAAAAAAAAAAAAGAGGCAGCAUCAACGCUCAGGAAUGCGUAGAAGGCAGUAAGUUAAAUUAAAAUUUCAUGGCUUCCCGUGCCCGUGGAUUCGCUUUCAUCUCAUUGGCUCCUUCUGCUCUUUGGUAAUCAAAUCAGCGACAGUUUCGUGUGUAAAGGAAAUGCCACGGAAUCCGGGUGAAUAAAUCUGCUUCAGCAGAUUGUCUGCUUUUCCAGGCGACUUAAUGCAGGCAGAUCGGAUUAUCAAGUAUACGAAUUUCGAGGUAAUUGAAGCCAUUUAAAUUUUAUUGCAAGCAUUUUAUUUGCGUAAAAUAAUUACUAUCACGGAAAACGCAUUUGCUGAGCCAAACAAAUAUUUAAAUAUUAACGAGUGACAAACUCCAAAUUUUCACACCAAAUGCCAACGUUUAUUUUUUGUCAUUAAAAUCAUCAUUAAAUUUAACUAUCCUUA